UGGGGAAUAUUGCACAAUGGGCGCAAGCCUGAUGCAGCCAUGCCGCGUGUAUGAAGAAGGCCUUCGGGUUGUAAAGUACUUUCAGCGGGGAGGAAGGGAGUAAAGUUAAUACCUUUGCUCAUUGACGUUACCCGCAGAAGGAGCACCGGCUAACUCCGUGCCAGCAGCCGCGGUAAUACGGAGGGUGCAAGCGUUAAUCGGAAUUACUGGGCGUAAAGCGCACGCAGGCGGUUUGUUAAGUCAGAGGUGAAAUCCCCGGGCUCAACCUGGGAACUGCAUCUGAUACUGGCAAGCUUGAGUCUCGUAGAGGGGGGUAGAAUUCCAGGUGUAGCGGUGAAAUGCGUAGAGAUCUGGAGGAAUACCGGUGGCGAAGGCGGCCCCCUGGACGAAGACUGACGCUCAGGUGCGAAAGCGUGGGGAGCAAACAGG
rnacentral:rRNA from 1 species